GCGCCGCGGCGUCACGUGGGCGCGCUCGAGCACGCGGUGCCGUUAUGGCCGUUAUAGCCGUUGCGGCGCGCGGCGCUCUGUGGCGUUUCGCGCCUCGCCGUCCCGAGCGGGUACAACGCAACCCUGAGCGGUCUUUUCAUCAUCCCUCACGUCGAGGGCAGCGCCUCGCCUUUUUCCUGCCUCGCUUCUAGCUAUUGAGCGGCUGCCCGAGCGGGAAAUCCUGACCCAUGUAAUAUUCGUGCUGAAUCCCGGCUGAAGACCAAUUAUAAAUCUGUUUUUCUGCUUUUUCCUCUGAUGCAUGAUGCACUAACCGAACUCGUUAAGGAGAGCAGUGCAGGCAAGCCAUAGGUUUAGUGAUACAAAUGUCAAAUUGCUUUGUGUGCCUUCGCUUCUGAUCUGGGACAAGUGAGGAAGAUGAGAAUUGCCUCCAAUCCCUAUCACCAAGGACCAAACCUCUCUUCAGUAGAAUGCAUGGGAUUCUCUCAUAAAGCCAGCUCUUCUCAUGCACUGAAGUACACUUUUGACCCCUUGUGAAGAGUCUGUUUAUUUACUCGUAAGUACGUGGUUC